UGCUUUUUUAAUUCCAGGAUCCUUGCACAGUUUUUGGACCAGUUGCCCCUUGUUUAUAUUCUCUUUCUUUCUCACACAUUCCUGCUGCGUAACCGGAAUGGGAAGCAAAGUGAACUUUGGAAACGCUACAGAAGUUCCAGUCCACAACCUUCUGCUUCUGAGGGAGUCCUAUGGAAGUGAGUGGGGCUUCUUCGGAGUAAGACAUUUCAGUGGCUAGCCAGAAUGCUUUUCCUGCUAUAAGCCUGUCCAUGCCCUGUGAUCAUCAUCAGAUAUCCUUCUCCAGCAGCCGUCCAGAGGGCCAUGUGGGAACAGGCCUUGUCAGCAGUGGCCCCCUGACAUGGAAUGCUCUGCCUGGUGCAGACAUUGCUAUCUUUUUGGCACAAGGCAAAGAUGUUUCUUUUCUCAAAGUUAUCUAAUCACCGUGCCCUGUGGUUGGACUUUUGGAAAGUUGUUCUACCUGCCGCACUUUUAUCUCAAGGCCUUUGAGGUCAUCCUUCCCACCUUUGGGUCUCCAGCUUCAGUAGCAGUGGUGAGAUCUUUGGAACAGAGGAGGAGCGCACACACUCCCUGUGAAACCUGGGAUUGGUCUGCCGUAUAGAACUCUAAUAAAAGAAUCUCCAAAUGCAGUUGUAUCCUGAACCAAAAGAGCAAUUGCAGCCGUGCCAAAGAAGGAGCUGUAUAAACUUUCUGAAAGUACAAGCAUUCGGACCUGUUAUUGGCUUUUCUUUCGGUGGGAACCUGCCAGAACUCAGUCCCAGCACCUCUCAGCUUUCAAGCAUAGCAGAUUAGACAAGUAUAAGGUAAGCACUCUUAAAAACAACCUGCGAAAUGUACAGGAGGAGGUUUUACUUUCCUAUUUGAUUCUUUUUCCAUACUCCAAGGCGACGUUAGCCAGAAGAGCCCUGGGAAAGAGCGGAGUUGAGGGUGGGGAAGAAGGGGCUUUAAGUGUGCCAUUAAUAAGAGCAAGAUAAUGAAAGGCCUUUUUUGCAAGUGCUUUUUCUUUUUUUCAAUAAGGUGCGAAAGCAGUCUGCAGUAUUGCUAGGACAGCACUGCAUUAUGUACAUAUUCACAACUGAUUCUAGAAAAAAACAAAAAUCAAGCAAGUUCACAUUUUUCUUUCCAUUCCGAGGUUUUCAGUUCCAUUGUGGCCUGAACUGCAAGAAAUGGAGGAACUUCAUUAGGGGGCUCUUGGUCCUCUUGUUUCAGCCUUGGAAUCUACCAGGGUGGCUUUCCUGUCCCUGGGCUGUAACCU